rnacentral:SRP_RNA from 1 species
GCUGGGUGUGGUGGCGCACGCCUGUAGUCCCAGCUACUUGGGAGGCUGAGGCAGGAGAAUCGCUUGAACCCAGGAGGCAGAGGUUGCAGUGAGCCAAGAUUGCACCACUGCACUCUAGCCUGGGCAACAGAGCGAGACUCUGACUCAA